AAAAAUAUAAUGAAUUAUUUAAAUUUUGCAAAGUACAAGACAAAUAACAUAAAGAAAAUUCUUUAUGUAUACAUCGAAAUACUGAAUUCUAUUAAGAGCAGUAUCUACAAUUUAAUUUUUAUAAUUAAAAAGUCACUUACCACCACGUCGACCGUGCCACAGAUCAACGACAGGCAGAUCGUCUGAAAGAAAUCGGUAAGAUAUGUCGACUGUCGUUGACAUACGUUACGAAGGUAUACUCAAGUGUCUUAAAUUUACAACAGUGAUACUAACAUGUUAUUUAAAAUUCACUAGCAGAAGCAACUUAGCUCGAUGAAAGCACGGUUACAUAAACAGGUCUCGACACUCUCUAGAGAAAAGCGCUCAAAAUUUGAGUCGUGAAAAAUCAAUAUGGAAGACGAUAAAGUUCUUGUUAUUACAAGACAAACAAAGAUGCAUAGAAUGCCUCUGUUUCUGUCUGAGACAUGCAUAGCAUGUCAUGCACGCACUGGAUGGAAACCAUUUUGCUUUCCAUAUUGAUUUGUCUCGACUCAAUCUUUGAGCGAUUUCUGCCAUGCUUUCGCCCACUUUCAGUAUGAGUAUCGAGACCUGUUUAUAUGAUCCCAGAUGGAGGUUUCUGCGUUUUUUAAACUUUUACGUACAACUUCAUACAAUAGAAGAAGAUAGCCAGGAUAUAAGGAACAAAAAGUGUCCUUGAACCGAUUUUUAUCAUGCAUCAUUGUGGUGCACCGUUCAAUAACUCACUAAAAGAAAACAUCGUAAAUUAAUUUUCAGCGCUCUAUCUUUACCAGAAGGGUAGUUACAGAGUGAAUUCGAAUUAUCUCUUUUUAUCCUAUUUUCCAAAUUUAAUGGCAUGCAAAAAUUCUGGGUUAUUAUAGACACAUUAGUGUUGAAGCGCAAAAAAAUACUGAAAAAUGUAGAUUUCGCAUAGCAGUUUAGAGCGAUCACUGUUUUAUUAUUAUAGUAGCGACAUGUUAGCAUGACUAUUAUUCUCAACCUUAAGACUCAACUCAAGACCGACGAUCUUUCGCGAACCAUACAUAUUUAGUAAUCACUGAUCUUUUACCUGAAGAGACACAUUACAUCGGAGCAGGACAAUAAAGUAAUAAAGUAAUAAGGUCUUAAGUUGAAUUAAAUAAUGUGGUUUAACUUGUGUUGUAAUUUAAAGAUAAUGAAAUGCAGGAGACACUGGUAAAAUAUUGUUUUUCUAUUGAAAAGGCUAUCAAUACGUUUACUUGUACCAUUGAAUAUUAAAAUAUUGAAGUAAACAAAAAACGAUACGAAAGUUUUGAAUUACAAACUAUGACAGUUUUAGAUGAAUAACAUUAUAGAAAAAUUACAUAUACUGUUAUGUGAAAUUAGAAUUAUUUGAUGAAUAUGUUAUACUUACCUAAGUGGAAAGAUACGCUUCAAUCACGAAACAACACUUUGAGUAGGUAUAAGAAUGGACCAGGGAAAAAAAUGGAAUAAAAAUUAAGCUAAAAGGUUUACAUUCAGCAAAUUCCUUAAUUUUCCCAAAUAUUUUCACAACAUGACAAUUAUAAUUGAGCAUAAGAUCGAAAACACUAGAUGGAAGGUUGCUACAUAUAAGAAUAAGCCAUUUUUACGGAUGAAUCUCUGAUAUACUUUUACAAUAGAUGUAGAGGCUUGCUAACUCAUUUUGACGAAAGCUGCCUCCAAUUAUCCAUACCAUUAUACGCCAUUAUCUCUAAAGCAAUUACUUUUCAAUUUGAAAAAGAAUGAUAGUUUUUCCCAAUGUAUUGUCUUCAGAAUCCCUACAUAAAAGAAAAGAUCAUAAAUAUGAAAAUAAUAAUUUUCAAAAGGAAUGAAUACCAUUCCCAUCCAUUUACUCAAAAUCAGAAGAUCUAAUACUGAUUUUAUACAUUUAUAUAAUAUAUAAAAUGUUAGAGAAUAUCCGUAACAGUAAAACAAUACGUGGUUGAAGGAUCGACAGAUUAAAAUAUGUUCCAAAAUUAUUUGCAUGUACAUUUUAUGAUAAAAUAUUCCUAAAAUACUUUUAAAACAUUUUUAAAUGAACGCCGUUUGUUGUCAUGUAGCAAAUAAUGAGAAGAAAAUCGAUGUAAUAACAAAAAAGUGGAUCGCUGUGACGUGCACGAACCUGCGAUAAAAAAUUUCACAGCGGUACCAUAAAGGAAUAUACAAAAUACCUUAAUCGCUCUGCUAUCCACAACGUUGAAUGAGAAACUGAUACUCAUAUGGUACAAGAUAAGGAAUAUAUAUACUUUUUCAAUUGAUUAAAUCAAUUUAAUUCCUUUUAUUUGUAUAUUACUUUUUCGAACGCACAAAUAUUAAAAAUCAUACAAUAUACUCACUGCGUAAAAAGAAUACAAAAUUUAAAAAUAUUAAUCACAUUUCUACCUGAAAAUCUUCAAGGAAAUUGGUUUUUGAUUUUUUUAACUGCGACACACCUUUCCAAAAAAUCUAGGAAGGGUUGAGAAUAACAGUCAUACUGACAUGUCGCUACUAUAAAGAUAAGAGUGAUCGUUCUAAAACUUAUAUACGAAUCCACAUUUUUCAGUAUUUUUAAUUUUUUUUCACGUAAGGUUCGCAUCGAAAAAAUCUAAAAGAAGUUUUCAACAUACAUAAUCGUAUCUAUAAUGAUGUAGAAUUUUUGUAUGUUAUUAAAUAGGGAAAAUAAGAUAAAGACGGAUAAUUCAAAUUCAUUCUGUAACUAUUACCAUUUUGGUCGAGGUAAAGGAUUGAAAAUUGCCUUACGAUGUUUUCUUUUGGUAAGCUUACCUUUUGGUACGGUACAGUAAAACCGGUUCACGUACACUUUCGAG